CUGAAGAAGAGAAGGAAAAGGAGGAGGAGAAAGAAGAGGAAAAGGGAGAUGGGGAAGGUGGCGACAGGAGUAGCAGCAGCUCCCACAGCGUCUCAGAGGAGGAGCACAGCAGCGACAAGGACAAAGAGAAGGAAGCCGCAGAUUAGCCUUGCUGUGCACCCCCAGGAGGUGGGGAUGCUGGUGGCAGCACUUCGGAGGGGGGACUGGCCGCUUUUAGCCAAAUAAAAGAGUUUGCGGGCUCCAAAGAGAGAUGCUAUUUAUUCGUUCUGGCAGGCUGCCUCCCCAGAGCUGUGUGGCCAAGGAAAAGCAGGUGAUGGGGAGCUGGCAUCUGGGGGAGCACAAGCAGGUUUUGUUCAAGAUCAUGAAAGGGAAUGGAGAGAAAUCCAGCAGCCCUGGCUGCCUGGCUCUGGAUAGCCCCUGAAAUGGAGCAACCUGCUCCCUGUCCUCUCCGUGCCUCUCGCUCCGGGGCUGUGCAGCAGGCGGCUUCAGCUGCCUGAGGCUGUGCUGAGCUGUUACAACCUGGUGUGAUUUUCAACGGAUCCCAAACCACACGAAAAGCAGUCGGGGGGGGGGGGGGGGGGGGGGGGGGGGUGGAGAAAAGCCCCAAACCCCGCUUUCUGCCAGGCUGC
rnacentral:lncRNA from 1 species